rnacentral:misc_RNA from 1 species
GUGAAAAGGGUUUUAUGCUCUUUCAUACAGUGUGACAGUGUGUGUACAUAUAAUUUGGAAAAACAAAGUGAAGAUGGAUUUACAGCAGCGUUUCUCAGAUACAGCGGACUUAUAGCUACAAGCUGAUCACACAAGUGAACUUUGCUGCUGAUGAUGAUAUGGAUCAUGUUGUUAUAGCUUACGCCCACCACGGGUUGUCGCCGGUCCUGAAGUCGGUCUCCACCCACGGCACGAAGAGAACCUUGCCGUCGUCGACGUCGGCGUGCACCAAUGCCAGCGACAGGGGAGCAGGUCCACGGACGACCCUGCCCUGGUUGUUGUACUGCGAGCCGUGGCAGGGGCAGAUGAACUUGUUCUCGGCGGCGUUCCACGGCACGACGCACCCAAGGUGCGUGCACACGGCGUUGAUCCCGUACGUGGCCAGCGUCUUGUCGGCCUCCACGACGAGGUACGUCGGGUCACCCUUGAGCCCCUGGGUGAGGGUGCGGUCGUUGGGGCCGUGUGUCUUGAGCCACUCCUCGGCGAGCACGUCGUUGCCGAGCUUGUCCUUGGCGACCUGCCCGCCGCCGGCGUUCCCGGACCCGGCGGGGAUGAAGAAGGCGCCGUAGGGGACGAGCAUGCCGACGGUGGGGAGCGAGAUGGCGCCGAGCAGGAGGAGGUUCAUCAGCUGGCGCUUGCCCAUGUCCGGGACGCGGUCGGCCGGGAUGCUGCUCGCGGCCUGGCAUGUGAUGGUCGUCGCCGUCCUCGGCACGCGCUCCCGGCCGAAGCCCAGGCCCUUGACGGGCUUGCCCAGCGAGGCGCGAGACCUGCACAGCUGAGUAGGGUUGGAGGCGGUGGAGAGCGCGGUGGAGGCCAUGGCUGGAUUAGCUCGGUAGCUCGGUCGUUCGGCUGC